ACAUAAGUUAUUCAUGAAUUUGUUGGUAUGGAACAAUUAGGAAAAUUUGGGACCAAAAGUGAAAAAAAAAAAAAAGGAAAAAAAUUUUGGAAGUUGAAAAAGUCAUCCAUUUUCCAUGGUUGAUCGUGUGAGUGGGAUGAGGCCCCCACACAAUUUUUUUGUGUCAACUUGUAAUUGGAACAACACAUUAAUGUGGGUCAAGGGACCCUUGACCAAGUCUUGCACUACUUAAAAAGAUGACCACUAGUGCAUUCCAUUCAUUCUUAACACUUAGACAAAAAAAAAAAAAAAAAAAGCAAGGAGUUGGAGAGCAAGAAGCUCUCGGCCACACCCAAGAAAAAUCAAGCCCCAUUUCUAGUUCCUCCAAAAUUAUUUCCUUGAUGUAAACCCCCUAUUUUGAGGUCUCUAAGUAGCGUGGAGGUGUCGUUGGAGCGAUCAACCCAUUAUUUUUCAUCUUUGGAAACCCUAGCCUAUUGUGGAAUUGAAGAGAAAAGACCUUGGGGAGCCCGAGGCGUAGAUUUGGAGUAGCUUUAGAUUGGCUAGCUUGGAAGUGCGUUCGAGGUACAGACGCACAGUUUGGUGAUCCCCCAGUGUAGGAUACCCCUUUUGCUAUUGGAGUGCUCUCCUCCCUUCAGAGCACAUCUUUUGGUAUACACUUUUGUUCGCUAUGUUUGUAUAUAUAUUCGUUCACGGGUACGGCGGGGCCCUGUCCCGCCAUAUGAUUCGUUUGGUCUGUUUAGAGGUCUGUCGACUUAUUUGUGGGUGCGUGUGCCUACCUCUGUACGGUUGUGUCCAUAUGAUCUCUUUCGUUAUGACAGCCUUGUCGGCUCGUACAUGUAUAUGUUGUUCUGUUGGCCCUGUGUGGCCUUUGUGGUAUUUGCUGUGUACAGGGUUAUUUUGGAUAGUCCGAAAAACAAAGGAAACUCUGCCGAAAUUUUUUUCUGAAAAUCUUAUAAAUUUGAAACACCGCCUUGUCGGCCUUGCCGGCUUUUCGAUAUAAGUAUAUGUAUAUGUUUGCACUGAAAUGUGUCCGAUACAAUUUGACAUAAUUUGAGACGGCAUAUAGUGUUUAUGGCCGUAUAUGCUAUUUGGAUGUGAUCAGAUAUGGAUAGGUAUGUCAGGGUGCCCAAGUAGGGCGCCAGUCACGGCCUACGGGGUUGGGUCGUGACAGAGAGCUUCCACUAUGAAUCAUAGAAAAUUCAGAAAUUGGAUAACAUAAACAAUUCAGAGCAGUUGUAGUAGAACCAUCUAUUCAUAGGUCCACUAAUAUGAGAUUUAAGAACAAUAUCUGGAAGAAUAUUGGAUUAUUGCAAUACAGAACAGAUAACCAAAUCCUGGUGUCAAAAGAUAAGAAAAAAAACAACAAGAGAACAACCAUUUAAUCUGUAAUACGUGCAUAAUAAUCAACAAUGUAAAGAACAAAAUGACUUAAAAAAAAUUCUAUAAGGGUCAUUCUCCCAAAAACUCCUGAAACAUUAUACAUCUGUCUAAUAGGUUGUCUCACACACCAUAAUUUUCCGUGCUCCUAUUUCUGUUUUGAAGCAAAGAUCAGCUGGAGUAGUCGUAUCAUUCACGCUUUACACAGAGAACAAAGGGAAGGUUCCACCUUUAGCUUGCAGAUUUUCA